rnacentral:rRNA from 1 species
AUUGAACGCUGGCGGCAGGCUUAACACAUGCUAGUCGAGCGAGAGGCGGACGGGUGAGUAAUGUCUGGGAAACUGCCUGAUGGAGGGGGAUAACUACUGGCAACGGUAGCUAAUACCGCAUAACAUCCGAUUCGCCAAGAGGGGAUUAGCUAGUAGGUGGGGUAAUGGCUGACCUAGGCGACGAUCCCUAGCUGGUCUGAGAGGAUGAACAGCCACACUGGAACUGAGACACGGUCCCGACUCCUACGGGAGGCAGCAGUGGGGAAUAUUUCACAAUGGGCGCGAGCCUGAUGCAGCCAUGCCGCGUGUGUGAAGAAGGCCUUCGGGUUGUAAAGCACUUUCAGCGAGGAGGCGUUACUCGCAGAAGAAGCACCGGCUAACUCCGUGCCAGCAGCCGCGGUAAUAC